rnacentral:rRNA from 1 species
UACGUAGGGUGCAAGCGUUGUCCGGAAUUAUUGGGCGUAAAGAGCUCGUAGGCGGUUUGUCACGUCGGAUGUGAAACCCUGAGGCUCAACCUCAGGCCUGCAUUCGAUACGGGCGGACUAGAAUUCGGCAGGGGAGACUGGAAUUCCUGGUGUAGCGGUGAAAUGCGCAGAUAUCAGGAGGAACACCGGUGGCGAAGGCGGGUCUCUGGGCCGAUACUGACGCUGAGGAGCGAAAGCGUGGGGAGCGAACAGG